rnacentral:rRNA from 1 species
UACGGGAGGCAGCAGUGGGGAAUAUUGCACAAUGGGCGCAAGCCUGAUGCAGCCAUGCCGCGUGUAUGAAAAAGGCCUUCGGGUUGUAAAGUACUUUCAGUCGUGAGGAAGGUGUUAAGGUUAAUAACCUUAGCAAUUGACGUUAGCGACAGAAGAAGCACCGGCUAACUCCGUGCCAGCAGCCGCGGUAAUACGGAGGGUGCGAGCGUUAAUCGGAAUUACUGGGCGUAAAGGGCACGCAGGCGGUUAAUUAAGUUGGAUGUGAAAUCCCCGGGCUUAACCUGGGAAUGGCAUUCAAGACUGGUUAGCUAGAGUCUUGUAGAGGGGGUUAGAAUUCCAUGUGUAGCGGUGAAAUGCGUAGAGAUGUGGAGGAAUACCGGUGGCGAAGGCGGCCCCUGGGACAAAGACUGACGCUCAUGUGCGAAAGCGUGGGGAGCAAACAGGGAUUAGAUACC